rnacentral:rRNA from 1 species
UGUUGAUGAAAUUAUUUAUUUAUAUCUUGUUAAAUUAUUAUUUUAUUUAUUAUUUAGAUAGAAAAAUUUUUUUUUAUUAUAGUAAAUUAGUAAUGUAAGUGAUUUUUUAAAAAUUUAAAUAAGCAAAAUUUAUUUUUUGUGCCUUGUGUAUCAGGGUUUAUUGAUUAAGAUUUAAUUAUUUAAUUUUCUCGAAUUUAAAAGUUCUAAUUAAAAAUUUAUUUAAUUGUUUCAUAAAUUUUUAUAUUUUUUAAUUAGAAAUGAAAUGUUAUUCGUUUUUAAAUAUAUCUAUUUUUUUAAGAAAAAAAUUUAAUUUUUUUAUUAUUUAUUUAUUGAUUAAUUUUUAGUUAUUAAUUUUUAGUAUAAAAUAUUUAGGGGGAUGAGCUCUUAUUUAUAUUGUUAAAAAAUUUUAUUUUGUUAUUUUUUGUAUAAUUUAAAUUGUUAAUCAAUAAAAUAAUUUUAUAGUUAAUCUUAAUUUUAAUAAGAUUUAUAUAGUUUUUAGCUUUUAUAUUAAAAUUUUUGGUUUAAUUUUCAUCUUAAUUAAUAAUGAUUAAAUUAGUAGGUAAAUAUUUAUUUAAUGUUAAGUUAUUAAGGUGAUAAAAAGGAAUUUGGCAAAUUAAUUUACGCCUGUUUAUUAAAAACAUGGUUUUUUGAUUAUAAUUUAAGAUUUAAUCUGCUCAAUGAUUUGUUUAAUUGCUGCAGUAUUUUGACUGUAGAAAGGUAGCAUAAUAAUUAGUUUUUUGAUUAGAAACUGGAAUGAAUGAUUGGUCGAGAAAAUUUCUGUCUCUUUAUUAUUUUUAUUGAAAUUUACUUUUAAGUUAAAAGGCUUAAAUUUUUUUAAAAGACGAGAAGACCCUAUAGAGUUUAAUUUUUAAAUUAAUUUAUAUAUUUUAGUAUAUAAUUAUUUAAAUUAAAUAAAAAAUUUUGUUGGGGUGACUUAAAGAUUUAAUUAAUUCUUAUAAUUGAAAUCAUAUAUUUAUGAAUAUAAAAUCUAUAUUUUUAAAUUUAAAUUAAAUUACCUUAGGGAUCAGCGGAAUUUUUCUUUAGAGCUCUUAAUGAAAGAAAAGAUUGCGACCUCGAUGUUGGAUUAAAAUUUAAUUUGGGUGUAGAAGCUUAAUAUAUUAAGUCUCUUGGACUUUUAAAAUUUUACAUGAUCUGAGUUUAAACCGGUGUGAGCCAGGUUGGUUUCUAUCUUUAAUUUUUUAAAAUAAUUUAGUACGAAAGGACCAAUUAUUUAAUAUAUUAUUUUUUAAUUGAAUAUAAUU